UACGAAGGGGGCUAGCGUUGCUCGGAAUCACUGGGCGUAAAGGGUGCGUAGGCGGGGCUUUAAGUCAGGGGGGAAAUCCUGGAGCUCAACUCCAGAACUGCCUUUGAUACUGAGGAUCUUGAGUACGGGAGAGGUGAGUGGAACUGCGAGUGUAGAGGUGAAAUUCGUAGAUAUUCGCAAGAACACCAGUGGCGAAGGCGGCUCACUGGCCCGUAACUGACGCUGAGGCACGAAAGCGUGGGGAGCAAACAGG
rnacentral:rRNA from 1 species